rnacentral:misc_RNA from 1 species
GAUGAAGAACGUAGCGAAAUGCGAUAAGUAGUGUGAAUUGCAGAAUUCAGUGAAUCAUCGAAUCUUUGAACGCACAUUGCGCCCCUUGGUAUUCCAUGGGGCAUGCCUGUUCGAGCGUCAUUUGUACCCUCAAGCUUUGCUUGGUGUUGGGUGUUUGUCCCGCGUUGCGCGUGGACUCGCCUUAAAGCGAUUGGCAGCCGGCAUAUUGGCCUUGGAGCGCAGCACAUUUUGCGCUUCUAGUCAUGAAUGUUGGCGUCCAUUAAGCCUAUACAUUUGCUCUUGACCGCGGAUCAGGUAGGGAUACCCGCUGAACUUAAGCAUAUCAAUAAGCGGAGGA